GAUGAACGCUGGCGGCGUGCCUAAUACAUGCAAGUCGAGCGAACGGACGAGAAGCUUGCUUCUCUGAUGUUAGCGGCGGACGGGUGAGUAACACGUGGAUAACCUACCUAUAAGACUGGGAUAACUUCGGGAAACCGGAGCUCAUACCGGAUAAUAUUUUGACCCGCAUGGUUCAAAAGCGACAGACGGUCUUGCUGUCACUUAUAGAUGGAUCCGCGCUGCAUUAGCUAGUUGGUAAGGUAACGGCUUACCAAGGCAACGAUGCAUAGCCGCCCUGAGAGGAUGAUCGCCCCCAGCGCAACUGAGACGCGGUCCAUACUCCUACGGUCGUCCGCAGUAGUGACUCUUCCGCCAUGGGCGAAAGCCUGACGGAGCCAAGCCGCCUGAGUGAUGAAGGUCUCCGGAUCGUAAAACUCUGUUACUAGGGAAGAACAUAUGUUUAACUAACGGAGCCCAUCGUGCCGGUACCUAAUAAGAAAGCUACGGCUACCUACGCU
rnacentral:rRNA from 1 species